ensembl:lncRNA
ACUGGCUCAUGGAGACACCUUCAUGGUCUCUGAGCUGUUGGUCUCAGUUUGCGUUUUCACUUCUCAUUGAAUCAGUGGAGAUGUUCUCCGAAGCUUUGUGAGAAACUCUUUUCAUCUCUGCUGAGCGUGGGCUCGUCUUCAGGUGAACUACCAUGCUCACACCUGAGAGUGGCCGGCCUGGUGGUGGGGGGGGGGGUCCAUUGUUUGGAUCCGCCUGGAUCCCUCCAGCGUUUCCUGGAGGGGGUUCAUCACGAUCCUGUGAGACAAGCAAGCAGCCUGAACGGGAUGUAAUGACAUCCAGAGGUACACAACAGAGAGGAACCUUUGAGGAAACCUCUGGUGUUGCUUUGUAUCCGUAUCCCGAGACACAGCAUCCGUGUUGGGUAAAGAUACAGAGGACGAUGGAGGAGAGCGACUCCAAUGAACAAGACGGAGAACAAAGAAAAAACAAGGUAACAAUCUCACAUGUCGUGUCGUCCCUCCUCUCACUGGUUUUCACAAACGUCUGCGUUUGCAUCACUAACCAGGUGAGUUAACUAGAACAUCUAUCUGCUAGAACCAUGGGUGAAGGUCGCUCACUUCCUGCUGGCUACAUCCCAAUAUGAAUGCAACAGACUGAUUCAACAGCCAGACUUUCCAGAUGGCAUUGAACCAUUUCUCACCACUGCUACGACGCUGUCCUCGUGCUGCAUCACGUCACACCCCGGCUCUGCAGGGUGUCCCAAGACAAGGAAAGAAACGUGCCAUCUCUUAGAAGUAAUGACCGGUUGGCCAAACAAACAUUGAAAGAGUGAAAAUGGAAGCGUGGCCAUCGUUUCGCUGAAGCACAAAGCGGCACAUUGGAAACCGUUGAAGUUCAGCGUGUAAAACCUUCGAUUCGCGAUCCUCUCGUGAGUUAAGAGGUAACAACCAAAAGGGACGUUGAGAACUGGUGGACGGCCGUUGUCUGGGUCGCCGUGGCGCCGGGGGUAAAGAGGGGGUCGCUGGGCAGCACAAGGUUGGUGGUUCGAGUCCUGACUGCCCUACGUUCCAUGUUGAAGGUGUCCCUGAGCAAGACACCUAAACUCCCCCGUAAAAAAAUGGGUGAAAAAUGUAAUAUAAGUCGCUUUGGAUAAAUGGCGCUGAACUCCCUUUCCCCUAAUUCUUUCUUCAGUUCCUCACUCUCCCUCCCAACCUCCAUCGUACUCACGGCCUUCGGUCUUCUCUGCCUCUCAUCGGCACCUUCUCGUCUCCACAGAAUAUCUUUAUUGUUCAUGAGCAGAGUGAACAGCGGGCUACUAGUUAGCAUCACUCCGUGGUGCAGGACCGGAGCAACAGCAUCACGGCCCACUGCACACACACACACACACACACACACACCGGCAUGCAGUAAUAUCACACACAGCCUCUCUGGAUGAGACAAAGACGUAUCGCAGACCCGCUGAUGCAGGAUGUCAUGUGCUCCUCUGUGAAUACACAUUUAGAGUUCAUAAUGAACCCUUUCAGAGGUAUUCGACCCUUGACGUUUGCGUCACCUUGAACUCGCACACAGCUGUUUUUGUGGCACAGCUGAUUGUGUCUCUGUUUUAGUUUCUGUGUCCCUCUCUGUAAAUGUCUGAUUUAAAUUGCAAUUCUCUACACAAUAUUCUAUUCAUGUGUCAACAAGGUCCGUUCUGCUUUUAUUUUGAAAAGCGCCGUUUUCUUCUUCUUAUGUUUUUUGUGACGCUCACUUCCUGCUACUUACCAUUUGCAACGUGGAAGUCACGCAUCGUCGAAGCAACGGAGAUGCUAGCAGGUGGAGGAAAUCCCUUUGAUUAGCGCCCUUGGAGAGCGGAUUGAGUUUUCACGGUGUUCACGGCGUCAUGGUGCUCGUCGAGAGAAACAAAAUAAAUCCGUUUGAACCUCUCUGCGUCUUGAUCAAUCAAUCCGAGGGGCCGCUGCACUCUCUCCUGUCCAUCCUCCUCUUCCUCCUCCUCCACCUCCUCCUCCUCCACCUCUCCUCACUGCCUCCAACCCAACCAUGAACAGAUUACAGAAUAAUUGCCGGAGAGUUUGGACGUGUCUUUGCACGGCGCCUCGUGCAUUUAACAGUGUGUUUCAGGGUGACACGAGGAACCAGGACGCACAAAGAUCCUCCUUCACUCCAACGCGGCUUUUUGUUCUGCAGAAUUUACUCGGAUGCAAAUGAAGCAUCAGUCCGGUGGCCGACGUCUCCGCCAUGAGACGCUACACAUGAGGGACAAAAGAUACCCGGGUUUGCCAUUUGUAAUCUGGGGGGACUGACCCUUUAACUGCCCCCCCCCCCCCCUUCCCCCACCUGUCCAUCACCUCAGUCCCACAGCUUUUAAAACCUGGAACCCAUUGAGACGCAGCUCCGUGAAGGUCUCUUAAAGGAACACAUAAAGUACACAACGUGCGACAAAUGCUGCGGUUGUGUGUGUGAUUUAGGGGUUCGGUAAUAAUAACUCAUUAAACGUUAACCUUUGUGAUUACACUGCAGAUUGACCCGCUGUGUGUGUGUGUGUGUGUGUGUGUGUGUGUGUGUGUGUGUGUGUGUGUGUGUGUGUGUGUCAUCUUUUGGGCUGUUUUGUUAAGACGUUUAAAGUGUGAGAACAAAUGACAAACACAAAGAAAAAGAAAGCGCUGCUUAAAUGUUUGUGGAAGAUACCCAAGUAAAAUAUAUUUGUGUUCGGUCCAAUCACUAUAAAAACCUGCUAAACACACACACACGCACACACAGACACACACAGACACACAAGCUCCCAAAAACAACAUUUACAGUUCUUUGUCCGACAGGAAAACAGCAGAGCUGAGUAAACAAAAGUGUGUCAGAC